rnacentral:misc_RNA from 1 species
ACCUGCCGAACCGUUAGACGUUGUCCUCAAAAUCUCUUCAAUCUCGAAGAGAGGACCCCCACAACUGGGCUUGCCUCGCUUGUCUCUGCACCAAGUUCUCUUUUCUCAUCCGCAACAUCUGCUGGAAGUCUAAAUGUAACAAAAACAUUCCCGCCGUUGUUGCCGAUCUCUUAUGCUGCCCUGACUCUUCUAUUUCUGGCGGCUGGUCUGCUCUCCACUAGCUCGCCGUCUGCUGUCAUGGACUCCUCCACGCAUGUGUUUUGCUCGAACGCUCUGAUUUUGGCCUCGAACGCGAACUCGGACCUGAUGAUAAUUACCAUAAGCUGGCCUCCUUUCAAUCCAAAAACAAACCACCUGCUCUACCAUCCCCUUUGAACAUUUCUGAUGCUACUUCUGAAAAUUGCGAUUGCUCUUGGUCAUUACUUGAUGACCUCUAUCACGAU